rnacentral:rRNA from 1 species
CGGGAGGCAGCAGUGGGGAAUAUUGCACAAUGGGCGCAAGCCUGAUGCAGCCAUGCCGCGUGUGUGAAGAAGGCCUUCGGGUUGUAAAGCACUUUCAGUAGGGAGGAAGGUGGUAGUGUUAAUAGCGCUAUCAUUUGACGUUACCUACAGAAGAAGCACCGGCUAACUCCGUGCCAGCAGCCGCGGUAAUACGGAGGGUGCGAGCGUUAAUCGGAAUUACUGGGCGUAAAGCGCAUGCAGGUGGUUUGUUAAGUCAGAUGUGAAAGCCCCGGGCUCAACCUGGGAAUUGCAUUUGAAACUGGCAAACUAGAGUACUGUAGAGGGGGGUAGAAUUUCAGGUGUAGCGGUGAAAUGCGUAGAGAUCUGAAGGAAUACCGGUGGCGAAGGCGGCCCCCUGGACAGAUACUGACACUCAGAUGCGAAAGCGUGGGGAGCAAACAGGAUUAGAUACCCUGGUAGUCCACGCCGUAAACGAUGUCUACUUGGAGGUUGUGGCCUUGAGCCGUGGCUUUCGGAGCUAACGCGUUAAGUAGACCGCCUGGGGAGUACGGUCGCAAGAUUAAAACUCAAAUGAAUUGACGGGGGCCCGCACAAGCGGUGGAGCAUGUGGUUUAAUUCGAUGCAACGCGAAGAACCUUACCUACUCUUGACAU